rnacentral:rRNA from 1 species
GACGGGUGAGUAACGCGUGAGAAUCUGCCUUAUGGUCGGGGACAACCACUGGAAACGGUGGCUAAUACCGGAUGUGCCGAAGGGUAAAAGAUUAAUUGCCAGAAGAAGAGCUCGCGUCUGAUUAGCUAGUUGGUGGGGUAAAGGCUUACCAAGGCGGCGAUCAGUAGCUGGUCUGAGAGGACGAUCAGCCACACUGGGACUGAGACACGGCCCAGACUCCUACGGGAGGCAGCAGUGGGGAAUUUUCCGCAAUGGGCGAAAGCCACACUGGGACUGAGCAAUACCGCGUGAGGGAGGAAGGCUCUUGGGUCGUAAACCUCUUUUGUCAGGGAAGAAGAAAGUGACGGUACCUGACGAAUCAGCAUCGGCUAACUCCGUGCCAGCAGCCGCGGUAAUACGGAGGAUGCAAGCGUUAUCCGGAAUUAUUGGGCGUAAAGCGUCCGCAGGUGGCUUUUCAAGUCUGCUGUCAAAGGCCAGGGCUCAACUCUGGUUAGGCGGUGGAAACUGUAGAGCUAGAGUGCAGGAGGGGUAGAGGGAAUUCCCGGUGUAAC